CAGAGCCCGUAGGAUUAGUCGAGCUGCGCCCACGGUCAUGGGAAAAAAAAAAGUAAAACAAAAUAUAUUAUUGGGAUUACAUUUUAAAAUGCCAAUAUUAUUAGGAGUAGCCUCCAAGCUCUUAUAUAUUGAUUAACCAUUUAACCUUAACAUGCCACGCAAGAUGUGGCUCAUCUGAGCACCCUCCGAAUGCUCAUUUGAGUAUUAGAUGCACCGAAUUGCUCGUUUGAACUUAAUAGGCUUUGAUACCAUGGUGAAAUUUGGAUUUCAUCUCAAUGGCUCAACCUUGUUUACAUCUUUAUUUUAUGUAAGAUUUAUCCCUUAACAAGAUGUACAAAUCACUGUGUCGUGCUUUCUCUUGUUGCUCAAUUAAAGAGAUUUACUAUUAGACAAGGUUGGAAAGAGACUAACGGAUUAUCCAAUUUUGUCAUAAUUAAGUCUUGGAAGCAUCUUAAAUUUGACUCCAUAUUGCAUGCAUGGUUGUCACUGCCCCAUUGUAUUUAAAUAAUAUUCUCACCUGUUUCUGGUAGAUCUUUGUUUGGUUAUAUGCUUUACGCUGAUCUUGAUACACUAAUAUUCUCACCCUUUUUAGAUUAUCGAAAUUCAUUUCCACUUUGUUCAUGCAGGGAGCUUCUUUGAUGGAUGUAUCUGAACUCUCUCUUUCUCUAUAUUUCUCUUCUCAGGUACAAGAGCACAUUAUCCUCCUGGUCAAGCUUGAGAUUACAUUUCCAGUAACAUGGACAGAUAGAUGAAUGCAUGACAAUUAAUAGAAAGGCCACCCACGCAAUAGGAUAUGCAGCAUAUCAUUAGAUAAUCUACAAAACUAAAGCGGAAUAGCUUCAUGGAGCAAUUGCUUCCCGAUGCUAGCAUAUUUGAAGAUGCCUGGACUAAAAAGGUUUCCCUCUCCAUCAUGGAAUACCAUCAGAAGUUCAAAUCUAAUGUUGACAAUCAACAUGCUUUUUUCAGAAAUUGCAGGAGUAUUCCAAUUGCCUUGCGGACUUGGACCUAUACAUCAAGACUCUUGUGACAAUACUCAAAAUGCCACAACCAAUUUUCCAUGUCCGGGUUAGUUACCAAGGUCAUGGGUUCAAGGAUUGGUACCUCCCCUCACCCAUCAAAAAAAGGAAAAGAAAAAAAUUAAAUAAAAAAAGAAACACAAAAUGCUAUGCUAUCAUUUUCUUCACCAGUUUGUUCUUUCGUUCCAUAAACACUAGAAAUUCAAGCUUCACAUGGGAAGAGGCAAAAGGACUUGUGACCAUGCUUAAGCCUUCUUUGGAUGAAGAGGGUUGAGGAAACAAAAACAGAGGUUGUUUCUAGUGAGAGGAACAAGUUUCACACAAAUGCGUGGACCAAACAAUCCAAACUCUAUUUAAAAGCUUUUCAGGAAUUCGAAGCAACAACUUCUAUGGCCUCCUAAGAGAUAUGAAUAGCAGUAGAGAAUGCGACCAAAAGGAGAGUUCACAAACUGGUUUCAUGCAAAUCAUCUGGGGCCUUUCCAAAAGGGGAAAGAUGUCUCCACUGUGAAGGAAGAGCUAGCCAACUCCAUCCUUGUUUCUUCGCGCUGGAAAUGCAAUGAUAAUCCAGCCUCUAAAGUACCGUAUCAUGGAAAUGAAGAUUGUUGAGCACCUUCGAGGAUAUGUACUUACCACUCCAAAAGUUGAUUGGACUAGUUGAAUUGGCAACUUAUCCAGUGGUACUAAGGGCCCGUUUGGCAUGACUUUUGAAAAGUCAAAAAGAGUUUUUGAGACCCAAAAACCGCUUUUGGCCUUGUUUGGUUAAUUUUAUGAAAAUACUUCUUCUAGUUUGAAGUGCUUUUCAAACACUUUGGAAUAUGAAGUUCUUUCAAAAAUUGGUUUUCAAAUAAAACUUAAGGUAGCUUCCUCCAAAAAAUCUUCUACAUGAAACAAAAAUAAAAGCAAAAGUCAUGUCAAACGAGCCCUAAGUAGAUCUUGCAGGGUAUGCAUGCCAGUCUUUGGACAAUUGAGUAUCCUAGCAGGCCCAUCUACGGGGCAUUCAUGGGUCGUAGUUUGCGAUGGUGAACACAACAUUGGCUUCAAACAUUGAGAGCCUCGCUAAACUGCCACUGAUGGUGCCUCCAAUUGAAUUGGCUUAAUGUCCUUAUUCGACUUCGACUCAGCUAGAAUUGGCUUCUGCUUUGGAUAUGCCCGUCUUUCCUCCCUGUGCAUAUCUUGAACGAGGAAUGGCGGGGCCAUCUUUUAUAUAAGAAACAUAUACUGCUUUUGGUUUGGUUUAGGAGUGGCAGUAAUUGGUUAGAGUUUCCGCUGGUGGACAUUGGAUUAACGACAAGGGCAUCAAACAUCUCCCUGUAUUACCACUGAUGGCGCCAGGCUCCAGUUGAACCAGUCACUAAGUCCAUGAUGCUUACAAAGUUCAUAUAUAUAUGUAUUUUUUAUUUUAUUUUUGUGCCCUCUUUCUUUUUCUUCAGUUAUUUUAAUUUUCAUCUCAAAGGUGCAAAAGUAUUUCUAUUUUUCAUUUUCUACAGAUAAAAAACAGAUGGGCCUCUCAAUGGUUCUCUCUCUACUACCAUUUUGUGUCCCUUUGAUUGUUAUAUUAGUACGACAAUCAAGUAAAUUAAAGACUGGCAGUGUGACAAAACACCACACUUUGACAGUAAGCACAAAAUUAAGUGGUCAACUUGAAAGUUGAUUGUUUACUGCUUGACAAGGCACGUUUUAUUAAUUUUUUUAAAAGUCAUUUAUUUGACUUUAAUUUCAA